rnacentral:rRNA from 1 species
UACGUAGGGUGCAAGCGUUGUCCGGAAUUAUUGGGCGUAAAGAGCGUGUAGGCGGCUAGAUAGGUCCGUUGUGAAAACUCGAGGCUCAACCUCGAGACGUCGAUGGAAACCAUCUGGCUAGAGUCCGGAAGAGGAGAGUGGAAUUCCUGGUGUAGCGGUGAAAUGACGCAGAUAUCAGGAAGAACACCAGUGGCGAAGGCGCUCACUGGCCCGAUACUGACGCUGAGGCACGAAAGCGUGGGGAGCAAACAGG